rnacentral:rRNA from 1 species
CCUACGGGGGGCAGCAGUGGGGAAUAUUGGACAAUGGGGGGAACCCUGAUCCAGCCAUGCCGCGUGUGUGAAGAAGGCCCUCGGGUUGUAAAGCACUUUCAGUGAGGAAGAACGCCUGGUGGUUAAUACCCAUCAGGGAAGACAUCACUCACAGAAGAAGCACCGGCUAACUCCGUGCCAGCAGCCGCGGUAAUACGGAGGGUGCGAGCGUUAAUCGGAAUUACUGGGCGUAAAGCGCGCGUAGGUGGCUUGAUAAGCCGGUUGUGAAAGCCCCGGGCUCAACCCGGGAACGGCAUCCGGAACUGUCAAGCUAGAGUGCAGGAGAGGAAGGUAGAAUUCCCGGUGUAGCGGUGAAAUGCGUAGAGAUCGGGAGGAAUACCAGUGGCGAAGGCGGCCUUCUGGACUGACACUGACACUGAGGUGCGAAAGCGUGGGUAGCAAACAGGAUUAGAUACCCGUGUAGUC